AGAUACUUCGCCUCGCCGCCGCGACAAAGGAACCAUUUUGGCUUCUGCUUGAGGUUUGAUUGUUGAGUCUGAAAGGAGUUAACUUUGAUUCUCGUACUCGAAUCUUAGCAAAUGGCGUCUUCGUUCUGGAACAUAGCUUAUCAACAAGCAAUGAAAAGCGGUGUCCUUGUCGCCAAAGUCUACUCCUUUCUCCAUGUAACCACUAACUAUCUCGCCUUCCCUGCUUAUGCUUUUGGUCCGAGCAUGAUCCCCACGCUUCAUCCUUCGGGGAAUGUCGUGCUGGCCGAACGAAUCUCCAAACCGAGUCGUGGAGAUGUCGUUGUCUUUCAAUCUCCUGAAGACCCUAACAAGCUUCCGACCAAGAGAGUGGUGGGACUUGAGGGAGACUCUGUAAGCUUUGUGGUUGAUCCGGGGAAGAACGAUGAAUCAAGAACCAUUGUGGUUCCUAAAGGGCAUGUGUGGGUGGAAGGUGACUAUAUUCAGAACUCGAGAGACUCUAGAAGCUUUGGUCCUGUACCUUAUGGUCUUAUCCAAGGCAGAUUGCUUUGGAGGGUUUGGCCAUUUCAAGAUUUUGGACCCAUUGGACCACCGACCACAACUUGAGAAAUAUGGGAGUUAGCUUGGUUGGUCAGUUUGUGAGUUUAGUAAUCUGGUUGUUAACCCAAGUGAGUCCGGUGGUUAGCUAUAUAAUGGAGAGAUUGAUACCAUGUGAGAUCACACUAUAGAAUAGUGUUGGUGAUUUGCUGGUGUUUGAUACCUUGUAUUUCGGAAGCUUUGCUCUCAAGCGAAAGGCUUUCAGUUCAGAAUCUUUGCUCUCAAGUCAGAUUUUGGUAGUGGAAACUGUCUUCAAGAUCAUAAGUUAAUGCAUAGACGUUGUGAAGUAUGUAAGCUCUUGACUAACUUUUCAUUUGUGUGAUUAGUCUGCGUUGCUGCUGCUGCUUUGUUUGUGAAAGGUUAAGGCUUAGUAAUGAACAACACAUGUAUGUAUGUGUGUGUUUGCGAGCUUUUGAUUCACCAUUUCUUCAUCGUAGCUCUUUGUGAUUGCAGGACAUGUACAAGUGAAUUACUAUAUAUUUUGACUCAGUGAAUUAAACUACGGAAAAGAAGUCAAUGACUCAGUGAAUGAAUCUUUAAAAGUUAGGUGACUAUUAACACACCUAAGCACAAUGUGGUAAGUGAGCUUUUGUAAUGUGUUAAACUGUUUGGUAGACAAUCGUUGUUAGCAUGCAUUCAACCGUCAUUCUCAGAGAUUUGGACAUUAAGGUACAUUUUGCUAGUAGUUAACAAACACUUAACAAUCUUUAUUAACAACUAUCAUUCUCGGAGAUUUGGACUUUAAGAUAGUUACAUUUUGCUAGUAGCUAACACACACUUAACAGUAGUUAACAAACACUAACAACGUCCUUAUCUCUUCCUCUAUGAAUAAAGAUUACAAGUGCAUGUCUAUUUAUAUCUCAACAUCACAAAUAUAAAAGAAAGAAACUAAAAGCAGCGACGACCAUGGCAAGAGAAAAUGAGAAUCUAGUCAUCAUACCUCGCUCUCAAGACCAAAGUCACAAUGAUGGAGAAGGAACUAGACCGUUUGCGGAAGUUAACGUCGGAGAUAUCUCAUUUCAUGUUCCUCGACGAUGGUGUUAACCUUGGUAACUUUUCUCAAACCGAGAUUGAUAAUUUAAAAUCAAAUUCACGCAAGAAGAUUACAUGUUUGAGUAGACAGUUAUGGCAUCCUUACACAAGUGUCAACAACGAGGCAACUCUUGGGGGUGAGGUCCCAAAGGCACCUGGAUUCCCAAUGGCAAAGGAGAGAACUGUCUAUUUGAUGGAUGAGUGGAGGAACAUGGAUCCAUCUGAUAAGGACCAUGCCUAAUGAAGCAGCUAGCCGUCGAAGAAUAAAAUUAAUGUCGUCUUGAAAUAAACUUGUUGUUGUGUCUUUGCAUGCUUAUUUCAUAUUUUUAGUUUCUUGUUGUUGUGUCUUAAUCUUCUGUGUCUUUGUUUUUGCAUAUGUUAACGUAAAAUAAUGCAAUGUUUUUCCCUUUGCAAA